rnacentral:miRNA from 1 species
UAAAUGCAUUCUCUGGGAUGCG